CGCGAUUAACUGAGUCACGUAUGAUAAACGGAAAUUACCUAUGUUUUGCGAAUGCAAAUCGAUUGAAGGGUGAUAAAUCUAAAUCCGUUUUUCUUGUCUGCUAGAUUCUAUGAAAUCUGAAAAUCUAGUUUUGGCUUAUUGCCUGGUACUCCUUAUUAUGACCC